UGGGGAAUUUUGGACAAUGGGCGAAAGCCUGAUCCAGCAAUGCCGCGUGUGUGAAGAAGGCCUUCGGGUUGUAAAGCACUUUUGUCCGGAAAGAAAUCCUUGGCUCUAAUACAGUCGGGGGAUGACGGUACCGGAAGAAUAAGCACCGGCUAACUACGUGCCAGCAGCCGCGGUAAUACGUAGGGUGCAAGCGUUAAUCGGAAUUACUGGGCGUAAAGCGUGCGCAGGCGGUUUGCUAAGACCGAUGUGAAAUCCCCGGGCUCAGCCUGGGAACUGCAUUGGUGACUGGCAGGCUAGAGUAUGGCAGAGGGGGGUAGAAUUCCACGUGUAGCAGUGAAAUGCGUAGAGAUGUGGAGGAAUACCGAUGGCGAAGGCAGCCCCCUGGGCCAAUACUGACGCUCAUGCACGAAAGCGUGGGGAGCAAACAGGAUUAGAUACCCUGGUAGUCCACGCCCUAAACGAUGUCAACUAGUUGUUGGGGAUUCAUUUCCUUAGUAACGUAGCUAACGCGUGAAGUUGACCGCCUGGGGAGUACGGUCGCAAGAUUAAAACUUAAAGGAAUUGACGGGGUCAUAGCUGUUUCCU
rnacentral:rRNA from 1 species